rnacentral:lncRNA from 1 species
AUGCUCAGAGGUGCUCCAUGACUGAGCCUUGCCUCAGGUCCCUGCUAUGGCUUUAAGAACACUGCCUCCUUAAGUGAAAAGGAUGCUCUGUACAGUGUUCUAAUAGGAAAGCUACUGAUGCUUCAGACGUUACAGUGCUUGUUUAUGUGCUUAGUCCACUUUGGGUAGAAGUGCAGCUUGUCACUUUGCAAAGUUACUAAGAACAUAACACAUGCACAAUCAUCUGGAACUUAGAUGGAUGCAGACUUGGCUAGUUGAGUUUAUUAUGGUUCUUAACGAGAAGCUAAGGGGUAGUUAUUACAAAACAGUAUGCUAGUUUUAGAAUAAACUCCAUUUUUAUUAUGGAAAUUGAGAAAUGCACAAAAAUAAUCUAGGAAAGCCACAAAUACCUAUUGCCUAGGACCAGGGUUCCCAACUGUGGCUGCUGUUAUUUCAUUCUCCACCCUCCAUAUCAUGCCAUCUCAUCUGUAAAUGGUUCAGUCCUUACCUCUAAGUGAGAAGUAUUAUAAGCCUGCUCAUGGAAGUUCAUUUGUGUCCCAGUACUCUGAAGAGGGAGACAGGAGGAUUGCCACAAGUUAAAACCAGCUAAGACCCUGUCUCAAAAACAAAGAGAUUUUAAUAUAGAUUUAAAUAUAGAUAUUAGAAGAUAACAUUUUAAAGUGCAACAAUGUAUCCAAAGGGUCCUUAGGCGGCUGGAGAGUUGCCUCAAUGAAUGCCAUUUACCUGUUCUGACCCAGAUACAGAGACAGUAAGCUUCUGUUACCCCUGCCUGCCUGCCUGCCUUCCUUCUUUCUUUCUCUUCUUUCAUUUGUUUUUGUUUGUUUGAGACAGAGUCUUGCUAUAUGGCACUGCUGGAUCUGGAACUCAGAAUAUAGCCUAAGCUCGCCCCAAAUUCACCGCAAUCCUCCUGCCUCUGCUUCUGAGUGUCUAAUGCCCUCACUUCUUGUCUGUUUCCCCACUGCAUAUUUUAUGUUAAAGAUGUGGUUUCCUCUGAGCAGAAGGAAGGCCUAAGUGGCACAAGGAAAGGACCUCACAGAGGCAAGUAUCAUGCUUGUCCGUGUGACCUUAGACUUCUUACCUGCAGUAGAGAGGCAUGAAGGAUAGCAGGAUUUUAAGCCUGGAGGAGAAUUUAAGCCCCAAGUCUUUUCUAGUCAAGUCACCCAGGCUUUUGGAUCUUAGUUCUGUUUCCUUAAAUCUUGGGAGUGUAGCUAUUUUGAGUUGAACGUAAAGGGGUCUCAGAACCUUCUGCGCCAAACCCUAUCCCUGCACACUCCCCUGCCCAUCAGGGAGGAGCAGCCCCACCUGGCCCCUCUGUUUCGUAGCAUUGACCACUCACUGUUUAUUAUGAGCCUGUGUUCCCCAUUGACGUGGAAACAACAAGAAUCCACUGUCCAUUUGCCACAGCUCCGGGCAGUGGUGAGGGCUGAAUAAAUGUUGAAUUAACUCAUGAAUGGUGGUGGAGACAUUAGGUUUCUUGCCUUCACUCAUUUUCUUUUACUGAAAUGUGAACACACAAGGCAUCACGGGAUUUCCUUUGUUGUUUGAGCCUCUCCUUGUUUAUCUAGACAAAGCUUAUGUGAAUUUCAUAGCAGUAGAAAGGGAGGCAGGGGCCUCAUUACCUCAUCCACACCCUGAUGAAGACAGGACCUCAACACUCUGUGUUUCUUGUCUUUUCCUCAUCACUAGGCAAGCUUGGUUU